UACAGAGGUCUCAAGCGUUGUUCGGAUUCAUUGGGCGUAAAGGGUGCGUAGGUGGCGCUGUAAGUCAGGUGUGAAAUUUCGGAGCUUAACUCCGAAACUGCAUUUGAUACUGCGGUGCUUGAGGACUGGAGAGGAGACUGGAAUUCACGGUGUAGCAGUGAAAUGCGUAGAGAUCGUGAGGAAGACCAGUGGCGAAGGCGGGUCUCUGGACAGUUCCUGACACUGAGGCACGAAGGCCAGGGGAGCAAGCGGG
rnacentral:rRNA from 1 species